ACCACGUCUUAUCAUUUCCGCGUC
rnacentral:siRNA from 1 species